rnacentral:rRNA from 1 species
CGCGUAGGCGGCGUGACAAGUCACUUGUGAAAUCUCCGGGCUUAACCCGGAGCGGCCAAGUGAUACUGUCGUGCUAGAGUGCGGAAGGGGCUACUGGAAUUCUCGGUGUAGCGGUGAAAUGCGUAGAUAUCGAGAGGAACACCUGCGGCGAAGGCGGGUAGCUGGGCCGACACUGACGCUGAGGCGCGAAAGCCAGGGGAGCGAACG